CCCAGGUACUGGGGAGGCUGAGACAGGAGAAUCGCUUGAACUUGGGAAGCAGAGGUUGCAGCGAGCUGAGAUUAUGCCAUUGCACUCCAGCCUGGGUGACAAGAGUGAGACUCUGUCUCAAAAAAAGAAAAAAAAAAUUAAAAAAAUAGCCGGGUGUGGUGGCACAUGCCUGUGGUCCCAGCUACUUGAGGGGCCGAGGUGGGAGGAUCACUUGAGUCCAGGAGGUUGAGGCUGCAGUGAGCCUUGAUUGCACCGCUGCACUCCAGCCUGGGCAACAGAGUGAGACCCUGUCAAUAAACCAAAGUCUUCCUUGCCUCUGUUCAGAUGGGCUGGGUUCCAGUGAGUGCCCUCACUCUUCCUUUAGGCUCCCUCGCAAACUGCCUGUGUUUGCCUGUGUUCUGAGUAGUUAUAACAUCUGUGUCCACCAAUUCUUCAGAAUGAUUUUCUUUUUUAAAGUUAAAUUUUUUUUUUUUUUUUUUAGAGAGAGAGACAGGGUCUCACUCUGUCACCCAGACUGGAGAGUGGUGAUGCAAUCAUAGCUCACUGUAGCCUCUAUCACCUGAGCUCAAGUGAUCCUCCCACCUCAGCCUCCCGAGUAGCUGGGACUACAGGUGUGCACCACCAUGCCUGGCUAAUUUCAGAAUGAUUUUCAACUUCACAUUUUGUAUGUGCCAGUGAAAAGAAAUCUUUUUUAUUAUUUCUACUGAAAUAUCUAUUUCUGUUUCUUAGAAUUUUACAGUUCCAAGUAGAUUAGCUUAGGGACUAGGACAUGUCUCAUAAUGGGAGAGCAUUGCAUAUUCAUGUGUUUCAAACUCCAGGUCAGGACCCAUUAGUGGAUUGUGACAUUGAUCUAGUGCGGAAAACCAGCAUUUAAAAAAAUGAAAUGGUGUAAGAGAAAAAUGAUCACAAUGUACCAUACAUAGCUAAGGAAAAUGUUUUGUGUAACUUGUUUACGUGUGUGCAGCACAUGUGUGCACAGGUGUAUACCGGAUCAUAGCGUAAAUUCAUUUCUUACUGAAAGUUGUAGUCAAAACAUUUUCACAACACUGUUUUGGAUGAAGCUUAUACCUCGUCCCCUGUGUUACUGGGCACAAAACUUCAGGAUGUAAGAAAGAACUGAGAUCCUGUGCAGUGGAACCAGAGGUUUAGUGCUGGGCUCUGGUCUGAGGUAAGGUGCCAGUGUCUCAGUAGCGUGAGCAGGGCGGGGGAGCCGCUGGGAGGAUGACAGGAGAAGGCCCAGCCGGGAAUUUGCAUACACAAAUUCUGUUGUAAUGGUGAUCACAGAAUAGGUUGGCUGAUUUACACAGAGAGAAAGGAUCUGUUGUGUUCCUCAGUGAAAUCACACCAUUUGCAGAGAGCAAUCUUUUCCUGUUCCCCACUGCUCAAGUUAGUGUAAAAACCUGUCCCUAUCUGUCCCCAUCAAGAAUGAGAUGUUUUUCUUGUUUUAUUGUUGGAGGAACAUUGACUUUCAAAAUUGAAAAACCUUAAUGGUGUGAAGAAAUUUCGAGUUUAAAAUAUUACAUAAUGUCAUCCUUCAAUACGGAAAUUCCUUUUGAAUUUCCAAGUUACCAGAACAAAAGUCUAAUAUUUUAAAAUAUUCAUGUUUGGAAACAGGUUGGUUGUCUGGUUGCGGGCCAUGGCCGAUAUUCUCUCAGCCGCAGAAUAGAUGAUUACAAGC
rnacentral:lncRNA from 1 species